CAGCCGCCGCGGUAAUACGUAGGUGGCAAGCGUUGUCCGGAAUUAUUGGGCGUAAAGGGCUCGCAGGCGGUUUCUUAAGUCUGAUGUGAAAGCCCCCGGCUCAACCGGGGAGGGUCAUUGGAAACUGGGAAACUUGUGUGCAGAAGAGGAGAGUGGAAUUCCACGUGUAGCGGUGAAAUGCGUAGAGAUGUGGAGGAACACCAGUGGUGAAGGCGACUCUCUGGUCUGUAACUGACGCUGAGGAGCGAAAGCGUGGGGAGCGAACAGGAUUAGAUACCCGCGUAGUCCCUGUCUCUUAUAC
rnacentral:rRNA from 1 species